GACGAAACGCUAGCGGCGUGCCUGACACAUGCAAGUCGGACGGUUCUUGUAUCUUCAAGCUUGCUUGCAGGUGCAAGGAUAGUGGCGGACGGGUGAGUAACGCGUGAACAUCUACCCAUUGGAGGGGGACAACCCGUCGAAAGGCGGGCUAAUACCGCGUAAGCCGCGAGGUGAGAGGCUGCCUAUUGGUGGCCGCCGAUGGAUGGGUUCCGUCCUAUCAGCUGGUUGGUGGGGUAACGGCCUACCAAGGCGAAGACGGGUAGCCGGUCUGAGAGGAUGGCCGGCCACACUGGAACUGAGACACGGGUCCAGACUCCUACGGGAGGCAGCAGUGGGGAAUUUUGGACAAUGGGCGCAAGCCUGAUCCAGCCAUUCCGCGUGCAGGACGAAGGCCUUCGGGUUGUAAACUGCUUUUGUACGGAACGAAAAGGUCUUCUCUAAUACAGAGGGCCCAUGACGUACCGUAAGAAUAAGCACCGGCUAACUACGUGCCAGCAGCCGCGGUAAGCU
rnacentral:rRNA from 1 species